UAGGGAAUCUUCGGCAAUGGGGGGAACCCUGACCGAGCAACGCCGCGUGAGUGAAGAAGGUUUUCGGAUCGUAAAGCUCUGUUGUUAAGGGAGAACGAGUGUGAGAAUGGAAAGUUCAUACUGUGACGGUACUUAACCAGAAAGGGACGGCUAACUACGUGCCAGCAGCCGCGGUAAUACGUAGGUCCCGAGCGUUGUCCGGAUUUAUUGGGCGUAAAGCGAGCGCAGGCGGUUAGAUAAGUCUGAAGUUAAAGGCAGUGGCUCAACCAUUGUAGGCUUUGGAAACUGUUUAACUUGAGUGCAGAAGGGGAGAGUGGAAUUCCAUGUGUAGCGGUGAAAUGCGUAGAUAUAUGGAGGAACACCGGUGGCGAAAGCGGCUCUCUGGUCUGUAACUGACGCUGAGGCUCGAAAGCGUGGGGAGCGAACAGG
rnacentral:rRNA from 1 species